AACGAACGCUUUCUUCCUGCCUAACACAUGCAAGUCGAACGAGACCUUCGGGUCUAGUGGCGCACGGGUGCGUAACGCGUGGGAACCUGCCCUUAGGUUCGGAAUAACUCCCCGAAAGGGGUGCUAAUACCGGAUAAUGUCUUCGGACCAAAGAUUUAUCGCCUUUGGAUGGGCCCGCGUUGGAUUAGCUAGUUGGUAGGGUAAAAGCCUACCAAGGCGACGAUCCAUAGCUGGUCUGAGAGGAUGAUCAGCCACACUGGGACUGAGACACGGCCCAGACUCCUACGGGAGGCAGCAGUGGGGAAUAUUGGACAAUGGGCGAAAGCCUGAUCAAGCAAUGCCGCGUGAGUGAUGAAGGCCUUAGGGUUGUAAAGCUCUUUUACCCGGGAUGAUAAUGACAGUACCGGGAGAAUAAGCUCCGGCUAACUCCGUG
rnacentral:rRNA from 1 species